UGCGACCAAGUUCCUCUGCAACAACGCAGCACAAACCAGUUUCUGUGGCUUAGCAUCCACAAAUAGCACACCAAAGACAGAAAUAGAAGUGUUUUGUGAGUAAGAUGGGAUUGGCCAGACUUCAGCCACAACUCACUAAUUUCAUUCACUGAAGACCUACUCAUCACUGUCUUUUAGUCAGAUCAGGCCUCAAAGUGUGCAAAGGUUAAUUCUGCAGCAGAAGAUGCCUAUCAGCUAACCCUACCCUGCCUCUUCAAAUGAAGAAGAGGAUGGAUUUGUGGAACACCACAGCAUAAAGGCAUCACUAGAAGUACUGGCCCAGGAAGGACCACCUGACCCUGACUACGCCACCACAUGAAGAGGAUGGUUUCACUGUGGAUGCUGUGAUGCUGCUGACCCACCCUGGCACCCCUUUCUCACCAGCACCGACAGUCCUGGGCCAACACGCUCCUGUGGAGACCUACAGUCCCUGCAGGAGCGAGAAACAAGCACCACUCCCCGUUGAUGAAACAACCGCGUUUUUUAAUUACUUCAUUGCACUGGCUUACAACAUCCUUGAAGGAUGGCAUUGCUGC